UACGUAGGGGGCAAGCGUUGUCCGGAUUCAUUGGGCGUAAAGAGCGUGUAGGCGGCCAGGUAGGUCGGUUGUGAAAACUGGAGGCUUAACCUCGAGACGUCGGUGGAAACUGCCUGGCUAGAGUCCGGAAGAGGAGAGUGGAAUUCCUGGUGUAGCGGUGAAAUGCGCAGAUAUCAGGAAGAACACCCGUGGCUAAGGCGGCUCUCUAGUACGGUACUGACGCUGAGACGCGAAAGCGUGGGGAGCGAACAGG
rnacentral:rRNA from 1 species